CGCCCCCCCCCCCCCUUGUCAUCAUGAGCCAGCUGCAGCGUGGGGCUAGGGUGGGGUGUAGUGGUCGGGUCUGGCCCAGGUGUGGAUGUGGUUUGUGGGUGUCGCUGCGUUAUUAGCGUGUGGCUGCCCCAGCCCGGGUGACGAACUGCGUGGGUGUGAGGCGCGUAGUGUAGACGGGGCCUAAGGCACCUUUAUCCCAAUAUUACUGUGUUCAUGCUAGGGGCUGUAUUGGUAUCAGUAUCAGUAGAUCAGUAAAAAUCACCUCCCUAACCAACAUAGUCGUAUUGGUACCAAAUCUGUGUGUUGAGCAGGCCUCACUGCAUUACCCCUUACCACCUACCACACUGCAAAGUGAUGAAAACGCCAAGCCAGGUCCACACUAGGACAUUUUGUUGGCAGAGCUAUGUCGGUCAGGGGUGUGAAAAAAACACAUCCCUCCAGCCAACAUUGCUAGGCCAGUAACACCCCCAGUGUAGACGCAGCUAUGCCGACAGAAGAGAGCUUCUGUGGGCAGAGUUAACAUCAUUCGGGGAGGUGGUGGUGUUAUACCAUCACAAGAACCCCCUCUGUGGGCACAGGCUGUGUCUACACUAGGUGACUCUACCUGUAUAGGUGUACUGAUAUAGCUGUAGCAGAAGAGCAUGUGUAGUGUAAACUAGCCCACAGUCUUUAAAGCUGUCCUUUUCUGUUUCAGGUGGCUGUUUUCCAGGCCAGGCAUCCAUUUCCUCUUACAAAUCAGUAUCUUUCCUUGCUGAAGGAGUCAAAAUCAGAAUGGAGGUGCUUGGGCUUGAUUGCUGGUGGUUCCACAUGUUACUGAGCCAUGAAGCUUGUGUGGGGAGGUUCAGCCAUAGGCAGUUGGACAGCGAUCGCCUGCCAGCAGCUCUGCGAUAAGGGUGUCAUGUGAACUGAUGUGCUAAGUGGGGAAAUCAUCCACUGGGAAACCCAGCUAUAGGACCAAGGCAUUGCCUCUCCAGCAACUUGACAGCAUGUCUUGGCUCAGAAUUCUCAUCCGGCUGGGCAUGUCCACUGAACCUGAUGACUUCAGAGUUGCUCUAGCACAGGGGCUCCAGGAUUUGGCUUCUAGUCUUUGUGAGUGCAAAAACCUACAUUUACACACACAGUCGGAGUAAUUGCAAGCAUGAGUGAACGAUUCGGCUGGUGCGUACAAAUGCUCUGCAUGUAGAACUGUGGUUUUGAGGCUGCACCUUUUGCACCUGCCUUUGAACAUUUAACCUAGAGCGUAUAAAGUGAAAAAGGUAAAGGAUCUAAUUCUGAAGCUCUUGCCCACAUAAGUAACCCUACUGAAGUCAGCAAGGAUGUUGAGGGGAGUAAGGAGCACAGGAUCAGGCCCCAAGACUUGGGUUUUCGGGAGCGGGUGGGUAUGAAAGUGUCUUAGAUUGUGAUGUACUGGGAGGAAGAGAUGCUGGAGUCAUUUAGGCUGUAAUGAAGAACCAAGCAGAAGUAUCAACUGUAUUGUGCCAGUUGCCGCUCACUAGAUUUCAUAAUGCAUGUUUUACAGCUGCAUGUAAAUAUAACUAAACUGGAUGGUGUUUGAAGAGCUGUACUGUUAAAUCCUUAGGUGCCUCCCA